rnacentral:rRNA from 1 species
CUUUACUGUAACUUGAAAUUGAAAUUGGACUUUACUUGCGCAGUAUAGGUGGGAGGCGUUGAAAAUCUUCUUGCGGGAGGAUUGGAGCCAUCAGUGAGAUACCACUCUUGUAAUGUUAGAUUUCUAACUUUGUAUCAUUAUCUGGUCAAAGAACAGUUUCAGGCGGGCAGUUUGACUGGGGCGGUCGCCUCCCAAACGGUAACGGAGGCGCACAAAGGUUUCCUCUGAACGGGUAGAAAUCGUAUCUAGAGUGUAAAGGCAUAAGGAAGCUUGACUGUGAGACUUACAAGUCGAGCAGGGACGAAAGUCGGUCUUAGUGAUCUGACGGUGCUGAGUGGAAAGGCCGUGACUCAACGGAUAAAAGUUA